UCAGAUCCUCUGUCCCCCCUCUUUCCAUCCCUCCCCCACUCACGCACUUGCUCUCUCUCAAAAAUAAACUUUUUUUAAAAUUCACUAUGACUAAUUAAUGUAUUCAGGUUUUAAGGUAAAACCUCAAGUGAUUUAACGCCUUUCUAAAAAGAAUAAUUGUGAAUGCAUCCUUGAAAGAGGUACUGAAAUGUUUCCAUAUUAUCUUUAGAAUGGAAUUGAAGAAAUUCUCUUGAGCUUCAUUGUCCAGUGCAGUAGCCAGUAGCCCAAUGUGGCUACUGGAGUACUUGAAAUGUGGUUGGUCUGAAGUAAAAUGUGCUAAAAGUAUAAAAUAUGCACUGGAUUUUGAAUACUUGGUAUGAAAAAGAAUACUAAAUAUACUGUCUCUAUAGAUAAUAAGCAUUAAAUAUCCCGAUUUUAUAUUACAUUUUGCAGUGCUAUUUUGAUAUACCAAGUUAAAUAAAAUAUUAAAAUUAAUUCCACCUGUUUGGAUUUUUUUAUCUUUUAAUGUGGCUACUAGAAAAAGUCACAUUUGUUGCUCACAUUGUAUUUCUGCUAGACAGUACUGGUCUAGAGAAAUAGUUUGGCAUAAACUAGGCAUCCUAUUUUAUUAUAUCUCUUUAAUACAGUCUCUUACGUUGUUUAUUACAUUGUUUAUAAAUUUUAAGCUUGGAUUAUGAGACAUUCCCUUCAUACGUGAACUUUUUAUAUCCUUUCACAUAAUUACAGUGCUGUUCAACCUGAAAAAAAAAAAGUCACUACAACAAUAUUUCCCACUCUUUGAAAGAGCUGUGUCAUUUCACUAAAAUGAUCCUUGUAUCUAAACUAACUGUAUAAAUGUAUUCUACAUUAUCUGAAAAUUGGGUCUUCAGCGAGUAAACAAAGAAACAACAUUUCUACAACAAGGAAAUUUCGUUUUAAAAUACCCAAGUGUUAAAGUCUUGUGCAGUCUUGCCUUAAUGUGCCCCUUCAUUCCUGGACUACUGCAAUAGUCUGGUCCAAUGGCCUUGGUGCUUCAGGUUUUAACUUUUUCAGUCCCUCCUUCACACUGCAGCCAGAGUGAGGUUUCUAUCUGACAAUAUAACUACUCUUCUAUAUACCCUUCAAGAGUUCUCCACUAUCUACACAAUAAAGUUCAAAUUCUUUAAAUGAUACACAAAUUCAUUGAAGAAUGGCUCUUGCCUACCUGACCUCAGCCUGGUCUCCAUGCCCUUGUCAUUUUAGCUGCUUGAAGAGGUAUCCCACACACCUGCCUUUAUUCGAACUAUUUGCAGUAUCAUUCCCUCAACUCCCAUCUUAACAUGACAACUGAUUUUAUCACUCAAGUCUCAAGUCCAGAACCUCCUAGGAAGCUCUUGCUGCCCUGCCGGAAAACUGACCAAUCCUGCCUCUGACACUCUCACUAGCACUGUCAGAGCAUUUAUAACAAUUUCUAAGACAAAUUAAGAUGUCAGGUCUCCCCAGGUAAAGGCUCCUUAAGUGUAAGGACCAUGCUAUACUCACUUUCGUAUCUUCAGCACUAAGCAAAGUGCUUGGCACAGACAAAAAAGUCUUAGUGUAUGUUAAAUAACUUCUUUUCAAA